rnacentral:lncRNA from 1 species
GGCUAAGGUACACAGAAAGCAGGGGUGGGGUGGGCAAGGAGGCCCUCCCUGUCUUCCCCCCAACUUUUUUUUUCUUCUCAAGCCAUGUUCCCAGUCUUUCCUGUGUUAACUGGAGAGGCGUUCAUCCAAAAGGCAAAAAUGGACUGUUUGGUGUUGGAGGCUGAGCAGAGGUGGGCAAAAAGGAACAGAAGGAGAGUAACUGGUGAAGAAGGAGCAAAGAGUGAGGCACAAAAUGAAGUCUCACCAUGUUGCCCAAGCUGGUCUCAAACUCUUGGCCUCCAGAAAUCCUCCAACUUCAGCCUCCCAAGGUGCUGGGAUUACAGGUAAUAGCCACUGUGCCCAGUUAAGGUGCAACUUCUUUAUGGAGCUUUUCUUUACUUCUCCAAGCAAAAUUAGUUGCUCCCUUCUCUAUGUUCUCUGUACAUUUUAGUUUGUACCAUAUAAAAUUGCC